rnacentral:lncRNA from 1 species
AGACUUAGGGCAUAAUUUCUAGCAUACAGCAUAUCUAAAGAGAACAGGAUACUUAGACUACCCAUUCAGGUGAGCCAGUAUAUUCCCCUUUUUUCCUUAAGCCACCUUAAGGUGGGUUUCUUUUAUUUGCAGUGAAGCAAGUCCUAAAUUAUAAUAACAGUGGCUUCUGGAAGUGGGGUUUUAUAAGUGACAUCCUGAAAAGUAGAACUGGCUGAACCAUAGUGGGGUGCAGAGUACCAAGAACUCCUCUGUUCUUGACUGGGAAGUUGGAAACCCAGUCGCGUCUCACAUAGCAGUUGAGUUGAACUGUGACAUGUACUGUCUUGAGACUCAAACUAUGUUCUCGUGAUAGAAAACAGAGUCAUAUUGGAGAGGAUCGGCUACUUCAUAAGGCCUUCAGUAAUGUCCUAUAAGGACGAAGCAAGCUGAGUGGGAAGAAAACAGAUCCCUCCCUGUCUAGGAGGGCUGAGAGUGUGGUGGGUUGGAAAAGUGGAAUCCUCUAUCCCAAGCUAAACUUAGCAUGAGUUUAGCAUGAGGAAUGGUAAAAGCACAGAGGGAAAAAAGACGGGAACUUAGAGGUAGCCUGAUGUCCCAACACUUUCCAACAUCCUGUUUCCACAGCAUAAAUAGCUAUCCUUUGAGAUGCAGCCAGGAAACAAAAGGCAUUUUAACUUUGCCCCUCGCCCCCUGACCUCUCCCCCCCUCAAUGUAUCAGCAGCACAAUGGAUAGAACAGGACACUUGCUGCUAAGGACCAGGAUCUUCAGACGGUGGUUGAGAUUUAAGGACCCAUAAUUCUCAGUUUAGAUUUAACUGAAUGCAAAUCAACCAAGAGCUUACUAAAGUUUUAGAAAAUUGUAUCCUGAGCAAUACAAAGCCUGACAAAUAACAAUCUGUGACAAAGUGAUCAACUCCAGUUGCAGCCCCAUGAACUUGCUAGGAGGAGGGGAGCAGCUCUGAGAAGGGAAAGCCACCCAGUGGCCUUCUUAGCUUCAGCCACAGGUCAAUAGACAAGGGGGUCCAGGGAGGAGCAGGGGAGGCCAGACCAGUCAGCCUCCAUUGCAGGGGAAAGGCGUCCUGGUUAUCUGUGUCCCCACCCCACCCUGUCAUCCCCACCCAUACAUGUGUUAGUGUAAAUGCUACACUGUCAUCACAAAGUGCUGUUUCCCUUCUCUCUUUUUCUAAAAGGGAGCUCUUCAUUAUAGCUAUCUUUUUUUUCCAUCACCCCCAUGGAUCAUGUGUGUUGGGGAGUGGGGAUUAAAUAUGUCACUUAGCCAUGAGUUUCUGGACAAAGGAAACUUAACUUGUAUAGGAAUCACCUAGAGGGCUUAUAAAAGCCCAGUGACCAAGCUCCACCCCCAAAGUUUCUAAUUCAGUUGGUCAGGAGUAGACCCUAGAUUUUGCAUUUCUAACAAGUGCUAAGGUGACAUGGAUGCUGUGAUUGUUUUGCUUUAUUUUGCUUUGUUUUGAAUUUCUCAGGUAAUUCUAAUUUGCAGACCAGGAUUGAGAAGCUGGGUUUUGGACCCUCUAAUCUAACAAGCAUGUAUUGAACACAUACUGUAUGCUAGGCCUAGAGCUAGGUCCAGGGCAUGCGUAUAAUAUACAUGUGCAUUCGUAUGUAUAUGUAUAUGUGCAUGUAUAUAUGAACAAGAAAAAGUGCCUGCUCCUGACACAAUCAUCACCUAAUAGAGAAGACAUGUAAACUGAUAAAUUUCAUACAGGGUAAUGUCUGCUAUGAUGAAGGUAGCCCACAGUUCAAAGGAGGAGGUGGAAAACUCACAGGGGAGGUCAGAUAGGACUCCAGAAGGAGGAAGACUUUGAUCUAAGCCUUAAAGAAUGAGUGGGACUUUCCAGGGGGCAUUUCAGACAAAAGAAACAGCAUGUGCAAGGGCACUGGGGCAUAGAACAGAAGCACGUGAAAUUGCACGAUGAGGACAUUACAAGAAGUCUGAUGUGGCCGAAGUGUCAGAAAUGAGAUGGCAGGGAUGGGAUCUGCCUCUGGAGAGACAGCCUGAGAUGCAGCCCAUCUCAUGGGAGAAGCCUAAAGAGUUAAAAUCAUUUAAAUAGAGUUUUGUCCACCAAGCCAUGGUGGUAAGAUUGGUCAGAAUCUCCCCUGAUCUCAGUGCCUAGUGGAGAAUGGCCACACGGGGGGAGAAUGAGGUGCACACAGAAAGCUCUGGCAGAAGAUGGAGGACCAGUGGCUGAGGUUUCCAGAAGGUUCCACACACACUUUUUUGAAGGGAGAGCUUGACACCCAUGGAUGUCUAAUCCACCCACAGUCACACCUGAGCUGAGGGCAGCUGGCUCAAAGUUCCCAAGGAAUAAAGACCCAUGGCCUGUCCCCACUCAAGCUAGGAGGCUUCCACCUCAGCCUGUGGGCCUGACUGGCAGAGGAGGCUGGCGGGGGAUGCCCUACACCCUAGACCACCCUAUGCUUGCAGCCCUCGGAGCCAAUGUGCCAACACACAGCUGCUGACUUUCUCCCCCCUCACGUUUGGCUGGAACAUUUUGCACUUUUCUUCUCCAACUCUUUCAAAGCAAGUCAUUUUCCUCCUCUGGAAGGUUGCCCAUUGUUCAUUUGACAUUAAAGAUAGGUCUUCACUGUUUUCUCUUAAGGCAGCAAUUGGGGAAGUUAAGCUGUAUUAUGCGGACUUGUCAGAAGGAUACAACAUUAUACAAAGGAAUGAUGUGAAACAAAAAUUGCUCUCUUCAACCUUCCCAGCCUCUCCCGCAUACAAAUUUCAAACCAUUUUCUGCCCUCAUGUGUGCCUGGCAUAGCCUGAAAUUGUGGGUAACUGAAGGGAGCGGUGGGAUUUGUGGUCCUUCGGGCAGUCAAGGAGGCCUCGUGGUUCUGGGAAUCGCUCAGUGGACAGGGAGCCUGAUGACGGUGGAGGCUGGGGCUGGUGAACAGGGAAACUAAUGAGGAAACGCUCCCUCCCCUCUUUUUUCUUAGGAAUACGUGGUUAACGAAUCCAACUAGGAAGCUUGAGGUUGCAGGUUUGAUCCCCGGCUUCACUCAGUGGGUUAAGGAUCCGGUGUUGCUGUGAGCUGUGGUGUAGGUCACAGACAUGGCUAGGAUCUGGCUUUGCUGUGGCUGUGGCGUAGGCUGGCGGCUACAGCUCCGAUUAGACCCCUAGCCUGGGAACCUCCAUGUGCUGCAGGUGCAGCCCGAGAAAAG